GGGGAAAGAAGACCCUGUUGAGCUUGACUCUAGUUUGACAUUGUGAAAAGACAUAGGGGGUGUAGAAUAGGUGGGAGCUUCGGCGCCGGUGAAAUACCACUACCCUUAUCGUUUUUUUACUUAAUCAAUGAAGCGGAACUGGUCUUCAUCGACCAUUUUCUUGCAUUAAAGUCCUUCGCGGGCUGAUCCGGGUUGAUGACAUUGUCAGGUGGGGAGUUUGGCUGGG
rnacentral:rRNA from 1 species